rnacentral:lncRNA from 1 species
CUGACACACUGAGUAUUCGUCUGCUGUAGGGCAACAAAUAAACAAACUGAGUAUUUGUCUGCUAAAGGAAAAAAAUUAAUCAUUUGUGUUUCUUUCUGGAUUGCAAAAGGUUAGUAAUAUUUUCAGUAAUGGUUAAUAUGAAGAUAAACAAACAAACAUCAAAGAAAGAACGGGAAACUGAAAGAUCACGGUUACGGAUUCGUUUACUUUCAAAAUGAAAACGAAUUUGAACAUAUUCGAAGAUUACAUGAGCUGUCCCUAACAUAGUAAUGAAUGUUAGAUUGAAAAUGGCCUGAGACUAUUGUCUCUACUUCUUUGAAAGUUUUGAACAUCGCAAUCGAUGGAUACUUCAGCCCACCAUAAUUCCUCCUGGUGGUAUGAUCUGCUGCAAUGAAAUUUUCUGGGAUCAAAUGUUGUUCAGUUUCAAGUAGACUUGCAGUCUUGGCAUUUCAAGAUAUGCCGGCAGCGACUGUAUAGCACGUAUCCCACUACGUCAUAGAUCCCUUGGUUCUUCGUACCUCCAAAAACCAUAAUAUCCUGAUUCUUCUCAACAUAGUAAACUUCAUCUUCUGCUACGUUCAUAUUCAAUAUCUUCUACAAAACGUAUUCUCAAUUCCUCCAGCAAUGAGAGGGAUUCUCUUAAGUUUUUGGCAGCUGCAUUAUCUUUUUUGAAUCUUUUCAAUAGGCAACCUUUAUAUUCCAAUAAAAAACAGUAUUUUUCCUCGUUAUCGACAAUUCCCACAUUUACGUCCAUUGUAGACGAAUUAUACAGCGAGUACGAUUUCGUUAUAACCAAACUUGCAUGGAGUUGAUCUCAGAAAUUUACUGAUUGUAUCUGGAUGUGGAAGAGGAAGUAUGCUUCUAUUCCUCAAAUGUUUAUACACCGAGGUGCUUUUCAUCUUCCAGAGUAAACACUGGAGUAAAAAGCCAGGACCAUAUCACAUAGAGUAAGCUUUCCCACUCUCCGACGUAAGCUGUGUCCGUCCCUUCACAAUGAAUGUUCUAAUUACUUCCUGCUCCUGUAAACAUUAUUUUAAAAAAAUUAUGUUAGUGUAAAUUAAUCAAUAGAAUCAUUCAUUAAAACACUAACUUGUGGUUUCAAGUGACAUAUUUGUUUUUUCCAGUGACUUCUCAGUCAAGUUCUUUAGUUCCACCUUAAAUUGUUCGAUCUUUCCGGCCAUAUCCUGAUAAAAAAACAGAUUAGUCAAUAUAUGUAACAGAACCACGAA